AGCGGCGGACGGGUGAGUAACGCGUGGGAAUGUACCCUUCUCUAAGGAAUAGCCACUGGAAACGGUGAGUAAUACCUUAUACGCCCUUCGGGGGAAAGAUUUAUCGGAGAAGGAUCAGCCCGCGUUGGAGUAGAUAGUUGGUGGGGUAAUGGCCUACCAAGUCUACGAUCCAUAGCUGGUUUGAGAGGAUGAUCAGCCACACUGGGACUGAGACACGGCCCAGACUCCUACGGGAGGCAGCAGUGGGGAAUCUUAGACAAUGGGGGAAACCCUGAUCUAGCCAUGCCGCGUGAGUGAUGAAGGCCUUAGGGUCGUAAAGCUCUUUCGCCAGGGAUGAUAAUGACAGUACCUGGUAAAGAAACCCCGGCUAACUCCGUGCCAGCAGCCGCGGUAAUACGGAGGGGGUUAGCGUUGUUCGGAAUUACUGGGCGUAAAGCGCACGUAGGCGGACUAGUCAGUCAGAGGUGAAAUCCCAGGGCUCAACCCUGGAACUGCCUUUGAUACUGCUAGUCUUGAGUUCGAGAGAGGUGAGUGGAAUUCCGAGUGUAGAGGUGAAAUUCGUAGAUAUUCGGAGGAACACCAGUGGCGAAGGCGGCUCACUGGCUCGAUACUGACGCUGAGGUGCGAAAGUGUGGGGAGCAAACAGGAUUAGAUACCCUGGUAGUCCACACCGUAAACGAUGAAUGCCAGUCGUCGGGCA
rnacentral:rRNA from 1 species